GGUUAUUCAGAUUAGGUAGUCGAAUGACC
rnacentral:misc_RNA from 1 species